GGGCCCGCACAAGCGGUGGAGCAUGUGGUUUAAUUCGAUGAUACGCGAGGAACCUUACCAGGGCUUAAAUGUAGUGGGACAGGUCUAGAGAUAGACCCUUCUUCGGACUCAUUACAAGGUGCUGCAUGGUUGUCGUCAGCUCGUGCCGUGAGGUGUCAGGUUAAGUCCUAUAACGAGCGCAACCCCUGCCGUUAGUUGCCAGCAUGUAAUGAUGGGAACUCUAACGGGACUGCCGGUGCAAACCGCGAGGAAGGUGGGGAUGACGUCAAAUCAUCACGGCCCUUACGUCCUGGGCUUCACGCAUGCUACAAUGGCCGGUACAGAGGGCUGCAAUACCGCAAGGUGGAGCGAAUCCCAAAAAGCCGGUCUCAGUUCGGAUUGAGGUCUGCAACUCGACCUCAUG
rnacentral:rRNA from 1 species